GAUGAACGCUAGCGGUGCGCCUAACACAUGCAAGUCGAGCGAUAUAGCGGCGAACGGGUGAGUAACACGUUGGAACCUGCCCCAGACUCAGGGAUAGCCCGCCGAAAGGUGGAUUAAUACCGGAUAGUUCCCGAAAGGGUAAAGAUUUAUCGGUCUGGGAGGGGCCUGCGCAGUAUCAGCUUGUUGGUAGUGUAACGGACUACCAAGGCUACGACGCUUAACUGGUCUGAGAGGAUGAUCAGUCACAAUGGAACUGAGACACGGUCCAUACUCCUACGGGGGGCAGCAGUGAGGAAUCUUCCGCAAUGGGCGAAAGCCUGACGGAGCGACACCGCGUGGUGGAUGAAGGCCUUUUGGUUGUAAACACCUUUUCUGGGGGAAUAAAUGAUGAAGGUACCCCAGGAAUAAGCACCGGCUAACUACG
rnacentral:rRNA from 1 species